UACGGAGGGGGCUAGCGUUGCUCGGAAUUACUGGGCGUAAAGAGCAUGUAGGCGGAUUGCAUAGUCAGGCGUGAAAGCCCCAGGCUCAACCUGGGAACUGCGUUUGAUACUUGCAGUCUUGAGUCCGAGAGAGGGUGGUGGAAUUCCCAGUGUAGAGGUGAAAUUCGUAGAUAUUGGGAAGAACACCAGUGGCGAAGGCG
rnacentral:rRNA from 1 species